UACGUAGGGGGCAAGCGUUGUCCGGAUUUACUGGGCGUAAAGGGCUCGUAGGCGGCCAACUAAGUCAGACGUGAAAUCCCUCGGCUUAACCGGGGAACUGCGUCUGAUACUGGAUGGCUUGAGAUUGGGAGAGGGAUGCGGAAUUCCAGGUGUAGCGGUGAAAUGCGUAGAUAUCUGGAGGAACACCGGUGGCGAAGGCGACAUCCUGGACCAACACUGACGCUGAGGAGCGAAAGCCAGGGGAGCAAACGGG
rnacentral:rRNA from 1 species